rnacentral:rRNA from 1 species
CGGGGGGAGCAAGCGUUGUUCGGAUUUACUGGGCGUAAAGGGCGCGUAGGCGGCCAGCGCAAGUCGGUUGUGAAAUCUCCGGGCUUAACUCGGAAAGGUCAACUGAUACUGCGCGGCUAGAGUGCGGAAGGGGCAACUGGAAUUCUCGGUGUAGCGGUGAAAUGCGUAGAUAUCGAGAGGAACACCUGCGGCGAAGGCGGGUUGCUGGGCCGACACUGACGCUGAUGCGCGAAAGCCAGGGGAGCGAACGGGAUUAGAUACCCCGGUAGUCCUGGCCUUAAACGAUGGAUGCUUGGUGUCUGGAGUUUUAUAGUCUCCGGGUGCCGUAGCUAACGCGUUAAGCAUCCCGCCUGGGGAGUACGGUCGCAAGACUG